GGCUCAGGAUGAACGCUGGCGGCGUGCUUAACACAUGCAAGUCGAACGAACCUUCGGGUUAGUGGCGGACGGGUGAGUAACGCGUGGGAAUCUGCCCUCAGGAGGGGGAUAACGGUUGGAAACGGCCGCUAAUACCCCAUAUGCCGAGAGGUGAAAUGAAUUUCGCCUGAGGAUGAGCCCGCGUCUGAUUAGCUAGUUGGUGAGGUAAUGGCUCACCAAGGCAUCGAUCAGUAGCUGGUCUGAGAGGAUGAUCAGCCACACUGGGACUGAGACACGGCCCAGACUCCUACGGGAGGCAGCAGUGGGGAAUUUUCCGCAAUGGGCGCAAGCCUGACGGAGCAACGCCGCGUGAGGGAUGAAGGCCUCUGGGCUGUAAACCUCUUUUCUCAAGGAAGAAGAUCUGACGGUACUUGAGGAAUAAGCCACGGCUAAUUCCGUGCCAGCAGCCGCGGUAAUACGGGAGUGGCAAGCGUUAUCCGGAAUUAUUGGGCGUAAAGCGUCCGCAGGCGGCUUUUCAAGUCUGCUGUUAAAGCGUGGAGCUUAACUCCAUCAAGGCAGUGGAAACUGAUUGGCUUGAGUGUGGUAGGGGCAGAGGGAAUUCCCGGUGUAGCGGUGAAAUGCGUAGAUAUCGGGAAGAACACCAGUGGCGAAGGCGCUCUGCUGGGCCAUAACUGACGCUCAUGGACGAAAGCCAGGGGAGCGAAAGGGAUUAGAUACCCCUGUAGUCCUGGCCGUAAACGAUGAACACUAGGUGUCGGGGGAAUCGACCCCCUCGGUGUCGUAGCCAACGCGUUAAGUGUUCCGCCUGGGGAGUACGCACGCAAGUGUGAAACUCAAAGGAAUUGACGGGGGCCCGCACAAGCGGUGGAGUAUGUGGUUUAAUUCGAUGCAACGCGAAGAACCUUACCAGGGUUUGACAUCCUGCGAACCUCUAAGAAAUUAGAGGGUGCCUUUGGGAACGCAGUGACAGGUGGUGCAUGGCUGUCGUCAGCUCGUGUCGUGAGAUGUUGGGUUAAGUCCCGCAACGAGCGCAACCCACGUUUUUAGUUGCCAGCAUUCAGUUGGGCACUCUAGAGAGACCGCCGGUGAUAAACCGGAGGAAGGUGUGGAUGACGUCAAGUCAUCAUGCCCCUUACAUCCUGGGCUACACACGUACUACAAUGCUACGGACAAAGGGCAGCGAACUCGCGAGGGCAAGCAAAUCCCAUAAACCGUGGCUCAGUUCAGAUCGUAGGCUGCAACUCGCCUACGUGAAGAAGGAAUCGCUAGUAAUCGCAGGUCAGCAUACUGCGGUGAAUACGUUCCCGGGCCUUGUACACACCGCCCGUCACACCAUGGAAGUUGGCCACGCCCGAAGUCGUUACUCCAACCCUUGUGGAGGAGGACGCCGAAGGUGGGGCUGAUGACUGGGGUGAAGUCGUAACAAGGUAGCCGUACCGGAAGGUGCGGCUGGAUCACCUCCUAACAGGGAGACAACAACUGAUCGUGAUGUCUGAGUUAUUGAUACUUAGGCCAUGAUCCUGUCACCUUAGGUCGAUCGGUACCUCAAGUUGAGAAUCAAAGAAAAGCUGAGUAAUCAGCUUGGAGAUUGAUGAUUGAUUUUAGUUCCUAAACUUGUCUAGGUCACACCCCGCAAGGGUUACUCCUGGGCCAUUAGCUCAGGUGGUUAGAGCGCACCCCUGAUAAGGGUGAGGUCCCUGGUUCAAGUCCAGGAUGGCCCAUUCGGUGUUGGGGGUUUAGCUCAGUUGGUAGAGCGCCUGCUUUGCAAGCAGGAUGUCAGCGGUUCGAGUCCGCUAACCUCCACUGACGAAUCUUCUGACAACGAGCCAAUGGUGAGAACCGUUGUGUGAUGUGAUUUAGAAUUUAAGUUUGCUGGCAGACCCUAGCUUCUUAUCAUUCCAGGACUCAAUCAAUUGAGAUGAGGUUGAUAGGACGCUGGGCUCACUGUAAUUCGCAAGAAUUGCAGAGAUGUUCAGCAGAACCUUGACAACUGCAUAGGUAAGUCUGGAAAGAAUAAAGCAUCUCAUGGAUGCAUGAUUCUUGGGAAUCAGCUGAUGCAAUCUGCGCGAGCAGAGAGCUGAGGUUGAUCAACGAGAAUGAUGUUUGAUUCUUGAGUCAAGAGCCGAGACUCUAUAGCGUUCUUUCGAUGUCAUCGAGGCAUCGAGAGUUUGAUUGGUGAUUCAAACCAUCUUCAAUGACAAACAAUUCAGUUUAACUGGAGAAGUUUGAGAUUGAAGCCAGGUAAAUUGCUAAGAAUACGUAUUCAACUACGUGAAGCGUUAUAGAGAUUAAUUGGUCAAGCUACAAAGGGCUCAUGGUGGAUACCUUGGCACACAGAGGCGAUGAAGGACGUAGUUACCUGCGAUAAGUCUCGGGGAGCUGGACACACGCUUUGAUCCGGGAAUUUCCGAAUGGGGCAACCCCUAGUACGGCCAGCUGAAUCCAUAGGCUGGUGCGAGCCAACCCAGCGAACUGAAACAUCUUAGUAGCUGGAGGAAAGGAAAGUAAAAACGACUCCCUAAGUAGCGGCGAGCGAACGGGGAAGAGCCUAAACCGAUGGUUUCGACCAUCGGGGUUGUGGGACAGCAAUGUGUAUCAGGGAUGUUAGGAGAAGUGUUUGAAUGGCACACCACAGAGGGUGAAAGUCCCGUAACCGAAAACUGAACUGAACUAGCUGUAUCCCGAGUAGCACGGAGCACGUGAAAUUCCGUGUGAAUCCGCGAGGACCACCUCGUAAGGCUAAGUACUACUGUGUGACCGAUAGCGCAACAGUACCGCGAGGGAAAGGUGAAAAGAACCCCGGGAGGGGAGUGAAAUAGAACAUGAAACCAUGAGCCUACAAGCAAUGGGAGCCCGACUAAAUCGGGUGACCGUGUGCCUGUUGAAGAAUGAGCCGGCGACUUAUAGGCACUGGCAGGUUAAACCGGAAAUGGUGGAGCCAUAGCGAAAGCGAGUCUGAAUAGGGCGAUCGUCAGUGUUUAUAGACCCGAACCCGGGUGAUCUAACCAUGGCCAGGAUGAAGCUUGGGUGAUACCAAGUGGAGGUCCGAACCGACUGAUGUUGAAAAAUCAGCGGAUGAGCUGUGGUUAGGGGUGAAAUGCCAAUCGAACCCGGAGCUAGCUGGUUCUCCCCGAAAUACGUUGAGGCGUAGCGUCUAGUGCUCCAGCAGGGGGGUAAAGCCACCAUUUCGGUGCGGGCUGCGAGAGCGGUACCUAAUCGAGAUGAACUCUGAAUACCCUGUGUGUAACUAGGCAGUCAGACUGUGGGGGAUAAGCUCCAUAGUCGAAAGGGAAACAGCCCAGACCGCCAGCUAAGGUCCCCAAAUCAACACUAAGUGAUAAAGGAGGUGGGAUUGCCCAGACAACCAGGAGGUUUGCCUAGAAGCAGCCAUCCUCAAAGGAGUGCGUAAUAGCUCACUGGUCGAGCGAUCCUGCGCCGAAAAUGAACGGGGCUAAGUGUUGUACCGAAGCUGCGGAUUUAACUUGUUAAAUGGUAGGGGAGCGUUCUAUGUGGGGCGAAGCGUUAGCGUAAGCGGGCGUGGACUGCAUAGAAGUGAGAAUGUCGGCUUGAGUAGCGAAAACAUGGGUGAGAAUCCCAUGCCCCGAAACCCUAAGGGUUCCUCCGGCAGGCUCGUCCGCGGAGGGUUAGUCUGGACCUAAGGCGAGGCCGAAAGGCGUAGUCGAUGGAUAACAGGUCAACAUUCCUGUACCGGUUAUGUUUUGGGAAGGGGGACGGAGAAGGCUAGCCAAGCCAGAUGUUGGUUACUGGUUUAAGCGUUCGAGGCGUUGAGGAGCGGCGAAAACGUUCUGAGCUAAGGCGUGAAUACGAGCUGCUACGGCAGCGAAGUUGGUGAUGUCAUGCUUCCAAGAAAAGCCCUAUACCCGUUAAGGCAUAACUGCCAGUACCCGAAACCGACACAGGUAGGGUGGUAGAGAAUACCGAGGGGCGCGAGAUAACUCUCUCUAAGGAACUCGGCAAAAUGGCCCCGUAACUUCGGGAGAAGGGGUGCCAGCGAGAGCUGGUCGCAGUGAAGAGGCCCAGGCGACUGUUUACCAAAAACACAGGUCUCCGCUAAGUCGCAAGACGAUGUAUGGGGGCUGACGCCUGCCCAGUGCCGGAAGGUUAAGGAAGCCGGUCAGCGUAAGCGAAGCUGGCGACUGAAGCCCCGGUGAACGGCGGCCGUAACUAUAACGGUCCUAAGGUAGCGAAAUUCCUUGUCGGGUAAGUUCCGACCCGCACGAAAGGCGUAACGAUCUGGGCGCUGUCUCGGAGAGAGGCUCGGCGAAAUAGAAUUGUCUGUGAAGAUGCGGACUACGUACACCCGGACAGAAAGACCCUAUGAAGCUUUACUGUAGCUUGGUAUUGUGCCCGGGCUCUGAAUGCGCAGGAUAGGUGGGAGACGUUGAAGUAGUGCUCGUGGGUGCUACUGAGUCAAUGGUGAGAUACCACUCUUUCAGAGCUAGGGUUCUAACGUUCACCCGUUAUCCGGGGAGCGGACAGUAUCAGGUGGGCAGUUUGACUGGGGCGGUCGCCUCCUAAAAGGUAACGGAGGCGCGCAAAGGUUCCCUCAGGCUGGUUGGAAAUCAGUCGACGAGUGCAAAGGCAGAAGGGAGCUUGACUGUGAGACCUACAAGUCGAACAGGGACGAAAGUCGGCCUUAGUGAUCCGACGGUUCUGAGUGGAAGGGCCGUCGCUCAACGGAUAAAAGUUACUCUAGGGAUAACAGGCUGAUCUCCCCCAAGAGUUCACAUCGACGGGGAGGUUUGGCACCUCGAUGUCGGCUCAUCGCAACCUGGGGCUGAAGUCGGUCCCAAGGGUUGGGCUGUUCGCCCAUUAAAGCGGUACGCGAGCUGGGUUCAGAACGUCGUGAGACAGUUCGGUCCAUAUCCGGUGUACGCGCAGGAACAUUGAGAGGAUUUCUCCCUAGUACGAGAGGACCGGGAGGAACGCACCUCUGGUGUACCAGUUAUCGUGCCAACGGUAAACGCUGGGUAGCCAUGUGCGGAGUGGAUAACCGCUGAAAGCAUCUAAGUGGGAAGCCCACCUCAAGAUGAGUGUUCCCAUGGCAUAAGCCAGUAAGGUCACGGGAAGAACACCCGUUGAUAGGCUCUACGUGGAAGUCCAGUAAUGGAUGCAGCGGAGGAGUACUAAUAGACCGAGGGCUUGACCAUCCAUUUGGUUCUUGCCCGAGAAACAAGUUUUAUUCAAUUCAGAGCAUCAUUCGCAAGGAUGAUGACCUAUGCAGUUCUCAAGGUUCACUCCUUGGGAAUGAUUUUAUCCUGGUGUUCAUGGCGAUGUGGAACCACUCCGAUCCAUCUCGAACUCGGUUGUGAAACGCAUCAGCGGCGACGAUAUUUUAGGGGUAGCCCUCUGAGAAAAUAGCUCAAUGCC
rnacentral:rRNA from 1 species